CCAUAUUGAAUCUAUUUCCUUAAGUUAAGUAUCCUCACACCUUCUUGUCAACUGUCUAAAUGGGCCAUCUUGAUUAUCACUACAAAAGUUUUUUUUCUCCUGCUGAUAAUAGCUAAUCUUAACCAAUGAGCCUUUCACAGUUUGUGUGGUAACUUCCAACGUGUGUGUGUGUGUGUCUAUGUGUGUGAUGUGUGUGUGUAUG